AAGGAAUGUAUUACAACAAAAAGAAC
rnacentral:tRNA from 6 species